CCUCUCAUGGCGUAGUGAUAACGCGCCCCAACUAGAGAUCGGGGAGUCGUGAGUUCGAUUCUCACUGAGAAGA
rfam:Aedes aegypti strain Liverpool supercont1.104 genomic scaffold, whole genome shotgun sequence.